rnacentral:misc_RNA from 1 species
GCAAAAUUUAUUGAAAUAAUAUAGUGAAAUGCUGCUUACUUUAAGAGCAUUCAUGUCACUAAAUACAUACCUCUCACAUUGUCUUGAUCUUUCUUUACUUUUUAGAUGCCAAUGUGCUUUUAUUUAUGCUUUUAGAGUGACAGGAAUUGAUUACUGAUUCAUUAUGGUUUGCCAGGUUCUUUGUGCCACCAAUGGCUUCUGUAGUAGAAUGUUAAUUUUUUGGAUUUUGAUUGCUUUUGCAGGUAAGAAACUACAGGUUAAUGG